UAGUUGACAAGUAGAAUGAUUAAGUCAAGCACUACGUCUCAAGCUCUUUGAUCUACCAUUAUUCGAAGUUUUGAAAAGUUUCAAAAUAAAACUCAGAGAUUCCUUUGUAUGAUCCUUUCGAGUCUCUCAUAUGUGGUAUUUGUGGAUUCCUCUCUAAGGCAACAAUGGUGUUUCGCCUCUCUCUCCUCUCAACAUAUGUGGUAUUUUUUGGCAUAAGGCAGAGUAGCAUUGUACCUUCCCUCUUCUCUCCUUAUAACUAUUAAGCUUAUGUGGAGCUAGUGGUAAUUUGAGGAUAUAGCAUACUUACCUUGCAUAUGUUUCUUAAUCAAACCGGGAUCCUCAGUGGGGAAACCAUACUCUUAGAUCAUGAUGUGCAUGUGUGUGGACCUAUAUAUAUGGAAUGGGUGUGUAUGUGGUGGUGGAUAUAUGGUGGAACAAUGGGUGUAACAUAACAAGGGUGAAAACAAUGGUAAGAGAACAUGUUGGAAACCUUAUCUCUAUUUGCCUGCUCCUUGAGGGGAUACUUCUCUCUUUUGAACUUUGAAAACUUUGAAGAAUACUUGGGCUAGAUACUCAUUUUUUUCUUUCUUUUCUCUUUUUCCCUUUUUUAACUAGCCUUCCAAGCUUCUUUUGCUGAUGAAUAGCAAGAGAUAGUAACAAGGAUUGUUGGAGCAUUUACUAAAUAGCGAUAAAGACAAUGAUAAGGUUUGAUGGAAAAAGGAAUUAUUUUUGGUUGUUCAUUUCUAGGGUAGGAAUGGAACAUUUUUGGU
rnacentral:lncRNA from 1 species